AAGCAGUCGCAGUCCGUCCCCCCCCCCGGUCCGUUGCUCAGGUCGUUCCCUCCGGAAACAAAGCGGCGACUCCCGGGUUCCGCGCUGGGAGGGGCAGUUGUCUCUGAGGUGAUGUCACAGGGGGUGCAAGUCACAGGUGUGACGUCCCUUAGGGCCUGAGUGUGGGCUCCUCCAGCCCCCAGUGCGCGACCAGCGUCGUCCCUAUCUCCGGCGUAGCCCCGGGAAGGGGCAAGGCCGCCCCACGCCGCAGGGCGUUGCACGCGCAGCCGAGGGCGAAAUGGGCAGGGCGGAGGAGAGAAGCCACGUGGGCUUGUGGCAGCUGAGGUGCAGGCAUCAGACCUUGAGGUAGCCCGAGGCACCGAGGGAAGAUGGUGUAAACGCUGAUCUGGAAGGGACAGGCGAGGCCGCGAUGAGGUGGAAGGAGACCGGGCAAGAUCGGAGGAGGUGGAAAACCCCUGUGAGACCACAGAGGAAGAGGCGCCAGCUGGGCUUUGGGGCCCUUCGUCAGGCCUGCGAGAGAAGCAGAUUUGGCCUGAGCUCGGCACAGUCGCUGCCGUUCGACCCUGCUGUGUUAAGGGCACCUCGUUUUAUUUCAAACAGGAUGAGCUGGGCAGGAGCUAACCCGUUCUGCGCAACUCGACGCCCGCGCGCCUGGGCCCGAGUGCCGGGGCGUGGCCCUGAGCCGAAAUCCGCAAACCAGCGGAGCCAGAAGUGUCAGAAAUGUCCCCAGAUCUCCAGCGAAGAUAGUUUCUAGCAUGAUUUGCUCAGCUGCCUACAUCCCCACGUCACAGCUUCAGAGACCCAGGGCACUACCUGGGUCUCCGGCACCUUAAACCAGUUUCUGACAACAACACUUCUUGAUCUAAGGAGACCCACCUGGACUAGAGACUUUGCACGGAUUCCACCGCUCUUUCUGGUGUAAAAGUCUUUUUCAAACCUUCUACAUCCAUCUUUGCAUAGAAAAGACAAGCCUAAUACUUGUGGGUUUCAGAAACGGGAUGUAUUUUGCUUGGUACCACAGAAACAAUUUACCUCAGUGACAAGGGAAGAUGUUUGUGUCUCACAGGUUCAUCUACAGUCCUUAUUAUUGUAAGGUUUUUAUUCCCAAUUUUAAAAGCCCGCAACAGAAAUGCCUAGUAUUGCUAUCAAAAAAUAAAUAAAGAGCAGAGAGUGGUAGAGAGCAUAGGACAUUUUAAGAUGGAAUGCUAGUAAUUGAAAUUUAACUUAUUCUGAAGUGGCUCCUAGCUGUUAAAAGAAUCAGGAAGUUAUGUCAAGACGUGGGUAGGUGGUGGGGAAAAACACCUUUUUUGUCAAACAGGCUCUUUAAUGACUGCAAGGCAGGAUUCUGAUUUUGCAUCCAGUUUGGAAUUGGCACCUCCGGCCUCACGGUGGGCAUUGGUUCAAUAGUGACUCGGAAAAGAAGAGAACCGCUGCUUGAAUUGCCAAUUGCUGGGAGGAGGCUGCACAAAUAUCUUGACACUGUGACUAGAGAUACAGAAGACUGGCUCUUCCUCAGCAAUCAGGCUGAGCUGAUUUCCUGUCAUUACUUUUGGCUGCUUCCAGGGUAUGGUGCAGAGCUGUUAAACUAUUCCAUCCUCUCGUUCAGGCGGUGAUUACCUACCCAAGGUCAUUGGUGAGGCUCCUACAUGCCGCAUCAUUCGGAGCAGCCAGGCUCAGUCCCCUGCUUUGAAUGAGCACUGCUUUCAGUAAGGCUUCCAUCAGGAAUCUGGGGCUGAAUUAAAUCCCUGCCCGGCUGGCUCACUGUAUAGUGGGAGGCAGUGUGUGGGGUUGUGCCAUCAUCCUUGAUGACAGCAGUCUCCAACAUAUAACAGGUCCCCUGCCCCAGCAGGCCUGGGGUAAUAGGCACAGUAUAGAACCACCUUGCCUGGCCCCAUUCAAGACUGCUCUGAAGUUUCUCCUUCUGUGACAUGCAGUAGUGAAGUUGCCUCCACGCAGACAAGCUCACGCCACUCACCUUGUGCCUGCAGCUGCUGUCCCAGUGACCUGGCGUAUUGCUGAUCCGCCUGUGCUGCAAACCUGCCGUGUACCCGUAGCAAUGGUGCUGCAUUUGUCCACAGCUCCGGGACCUGAGAGCCUUACAAGCAUGAACAAGCAUGUCUGUGUGCCCUGGGACACACUGAUUCAUAGAGUUUGAGGUCAGGAGGGAUGACGCCCAUGUCACCAAUAUGCCACUGGCACGGAGCUGGUGACAGCGAUGACCAGCCCACGCUGCUGCGAAGCACCAAGCUCACAUGCAGCACGCUGUUAAUGACUGUGACACCACGCUUACACUGAAGCCUUGCCAGAUGACGCAUAGAACUUCCCCAAGGCUCAGGGAGCACUUUCCCUCCCUGACUUCGCAUGGCAUCAGCUGGAUGCAGCUGAGGACUAAGUAUUGCAUCUGCAUCAUGUAGGGACUCUGAAAAGGGAGCCCAGAGUUGCAGCAUCUGGAUUUUGGAGAGCAGCGAGUUUCCCUGCCUUCUUCCUUGGAGUUCAGAGAUCAAGCCAAACUGCAUCCUGCCUAAGGGUGACUUAUUUUUUAGCCCUGGCUCAUACAGAUUUUAUGAAACAGGAUUUUAUGUUUCUCCUCCCCAUGGUAUUUACCAGAUUGCUCCAAAUUACAUGGUGGUGAACAUGAAAGCCACAUACCUGUGGAGGAGAGAAUUAGUAGUUCUCAGUUUUCAGUCUGGCUCUCUUUCUCUCCCUACCCCUUCCCCACCUCUCCCUGCCUUGUGGAGCCAGCUGCUCCAAGAAUAGUUCAGGAAUGAAAUGUCACAGUUUGAAGCUGGUGAGUCACACUCUUCUACCAAAAUACAAUCUUGCAGCAUGUCUCCUGAUGGGGACAGCAAGACUUUUCAAAAUGCAAGCUUCCUGAUGGAAGCCAGUGGUUCUGAAUAAACCCUGCGUGCUGUGUCCUGGCUGUUUGUUGCAUGAUGAUCAUAAGGUACUUUUCCAACUUUAAUUAUCUAGUUAACGUGCCCAUCACAAUCGGACCAGGUGCCUUAGCCAAAAGAGCUGCAUUGUUUCUGUCUGACAAUGCACCUACAGUAAGUCUCUUAAUUAAGUCUCCCUGCACUGCUGUGAGGUAUGUAAUUACAGUGAAACCUGCCUUAAGCAACAACUCAAGGGACCAACAAAAAUAAUUUCCUUACCAGAGCAGGGAGAGGCAGGAUUUUACUAGGUGCAUUUUGGGGUACUUUGGGGCAAGGUAGUAAAACAAGGAGGGGGCCUAAUUAAGGUGGUUCCUUCUCCAGGUUUCCCUGUGGUAGAUUAACAUGCUCAUGCUAUAUACUGGUAUGAUAUUAUUAAUACUACUUUCAUAAUCAUGGCUUAGCAUAAUAGUACUAAUUAUACUAAUUAACAUUGUUCUCUUUUCAAAAGGCUCCCUAGGAUUUUCAUCUUCCACUAGAGACUGCCAAAGGAUUGCCACUUAGAGCCAAUGGGACUAUUGUGUUUCUGUGAUGCGGACCAUUGUCCAUCAGAGAUCAGUGAAUGGAGGACCUUCCCUCCCCACCCACAUUCAUAUUAUAUGAGAGCCAUCAAAGAGCUUUCACAUGGCACCAGGGCUCAGUCAAAGUUGGGCUACAUCAGGCAUUGUUUGAUGAGGUUUUUGUCUCAGUGAGGCCUGAGGGAUGUGGUGCAGUAUCAAGCUCUCUGUCCUGGCAUAUUUUUGAACUAUUAAAAUUAUUUUAUAGAGAGUGCAGUAAAGUUUAAUGAGUUUGUAGAACUUGGGCUAGGGCCCCACCUAUUCUGUAGCCACUGAGUUUGCCACAGAAUUCAUCCCUUGUUGCAGAUUUCUGCUCCAGAAUCUCCUUUUGUUGAAAAAGUAUCUCGCCCUCCUCAUGGUAAAGAUGGCCAAGAAAGGUGACAGGAGCACGAGUGCAGUGCUGUAUGCUCUUGGCCAACUCAGGUGUGAAAUAGCAUGUCUGAGAGGUUUAAACUUGCCUUCCUUGUCCCCGUGGGUUAUUACUUCUGAAACAGAAAGGGAACAAAUUAAUGCUUACGUGGUUAACACUUUCACUGUUGUUCCAUUCAGUUAGACGCCUCUGCUGAGAGCUUGCCCUCCAAACUGGCUCACGCUCCUCUCCCAGUGCUGAAAGCCUCAAACAUCCUCUAAUCCACUUCCAGCCUCCCCACUAAAUCCUGAGGUGCCAUUAGCCAUUGUCAGUACAACAGUGACAUGUUGAAAAGUGACCAUGCAGGGACUGCCUGGAAUAAAGUCAAUGCACUUAAAAAUAAAUAACACGGGAGCUUCUGGGUUGAUUAUAUUGCUCCCUUAAAUACUGAAUUCAAGAUGCACUUGAUGUUUUAAAUACAUCUGAAGCUAUGGUAGAAUUUCACGGAUUUCCAUCAGAAGCCAAGAAUUUUGCCACUGGAUUUCCAGCACACAUGUGCACUCAGUGAUUCCUCAGAACCUGAAAUCUCCAACUGGGAAUCGGGCUUCCAGACUCUCUCGUACCUCGGCAAACUGUGGCUUCAAUACGCAAGGUUCCACCUCAUCCAAGCUAGGAUUUCUGCUCCAUUCCAAAGGUCACUGGUUCUAUCCAUUUGUUCUGUGAUUGGAAAAAGAUGACAAAGUUUAUUAACCAAGAUGAUUUUGGACGUUUAUUAGCAAGACAUUGUCAGGCAACAAUGGCAGCACAGACAGAGAAGCUGGUCCCAGUCCCGCAGUAUUUCCUGCAGGGCUCCCUGCAGCUCACGGCUCUUCUCUGCUGAUCCUCUCAUAUUGUUUUUGAUAAUGAAUAGCAGCUGAUUGUUGCAUUGUCUAAUAAGUGAUUCAUUUACAUUAAGCAUCGCUUCAAAGUAGGAUUUGAUUUGUUUGUUUCAAAGUCCCUUCAGUUGUUUAGUUGUAGAGAUUCCAUUUUUUUGUAACCGCAUUGUUUGAAUGAUUUCUCAGUUGCUUCUACAAACAGCCAAAUUCCCCUGAUGUAACUUCCCGAGCAGCCUCUGGUGUCACAGAAGUGGAAGCAGGAUCCAGAUUUUCAAAAGAGGCAUCUAUCAGUGGUCUUGAAUGGCCAGUUUGAGACCUCUGCCCUGAACUCCCUGUCAGUUUUGCUGUCCCUGUAAGUCCAUGUGAAGGCAGGCAUAGAGCCUCAGCAAGUGGGAAUGGCCAGAGCUUCAUUGGCAUCCCGUUGAUCUGCCUCACCAUCUCUGAAACGGAGACACCUCACAUUGUGGCUUCUGAAAAUCUGGCCCCAAAUAUUCAAAUUCCUGAACGUUAGUUAUGGCUCUGCCUCUGACUUCAGGCACAACCCAUGGCCCCUCUGCCCUGGUCGUGCUGUCUCUAUAAAAUUAGCAUCAAACAAGCAGCCUCACAAAAGUGUUGGCAGGUAACAUCUCUGCUGCCCUUUGAAGUUGAGGAGUUCUAGAUAUCCAUGUAUAUUAAGUAUGAAGUCUUAUUUUCAUUAUGCGCUGCAGGCCUUUAUAUUACCAAUGCCAAUUGCCCCCUCUUCUCUAGUUGCUGCCACUCCUAGGUGACAUGGUUUUACAGCUUAACACCAGGGCCUGGUAUGAUUUCACGCACUUCAAAGAGGACCAAUGUUCUUGAAUAUGGAUACUGUUGGCUUGUCCAGUCUUGAGGACUGCCAUUCUUUAACAUCGCCACAUUUAAGCAUUAACUGGGGUGACAGUGCUUCUUUUAAUGUUUUCUUAAUUUAGCAUGGUGUAUAAGGAUUUCCCCUGUAAACUAGCAUUUCCAGCAUGGUUAGCUUGUAAUUUCUGGUGUGUUCUGCAGAGGCCUAAUAGGAAUUCAGACUCAGUGGUGGAUGUGACGUGCUUUGGUGAAAGUGGACAGCACUGUGAGUCAUUGUGAGAAACUAGGUGGGUGAGAACCACCUAAGUAGGAAUGCUCAGCCUUGUACUAUAUGAUUUCUGACAUUCAAAAAAUGCUGUCUUGUUAUGAGUGCUUCCCUUGAUACAGAGGUUCAGGAGAGCAAACACAUGGGCAAACCAAAUGCAACAAAGUGGGGGGCUUCUUGAAGUCUGAAAACCCAGUAAGGCAGUGGGUUGGAAGAAGGAUUGGACGGUGGGCUGAGCUUACUGAUGGAUGGAGACUGCCAUGCUGCUGGAGCAGCCAGGAUCACAGACGGGGUUCUUCCCCUGUGGUUCUGGCCAAAGAGCGGCAAAGGCCUUUGGGGGACGCUGCUCGUGGAAUCAGAAGGUCCCAGAAAGACCAAUCAAUGUGAACUGAUUGGGUAAAGUCCAGGAGUGGGAGUCUGAAUUGGGAAGAGACAGCUGGGAGGUGAUAGCUUGAAUACCAGAUACUCCACUAACGCGAAUAGCAGGUAAAUGUGUACUACUUAACAGUAUGGCAUAACCUAGUUCCCAAUGUGUUGCUUGUUGGAUAUGUUGUAAUAGACUCUGGUUAUCUACUGCUUGAGUGCAGAAACCACCCAAUUGCGUUACAUCUUUCAGCCCCUUGCCUGCUGCGUAUCUUUGUACUCCAUUUAACUGGGCCCGAAACAGUGUAGGGGAAGCAGCUGUUAAAGGGCUGCUAUUAGAAGCCUUGAAAAAUGACAGGAGCGCAAGUCAGCUUCAUGGCUGCUGAUCCCAGAGCCCUAGCCAUGCUGUAAACAAGGCUUGUUAAGCACAUGGGGCUGUCAGUGCUGGGCACUUAAUGAGCAUGGUUUACCUAAACUCUAGGCAAGUGCCUGCUCCAGGUACAUCCAGAGCCUUCCCAGCCUUGAGGCUAUGGGCUUUAAGGGGGUUCCCUGUGAAAGAGGUAGGGAGGAAAGUGAGAACACUGACCAGAAAAAUGUAGUGGUGUGAGAGCAAGGGGGCUUCCUGGGACAGGAUGAGGGACUGGCAUUAGGACAGCAUCUGCAUGGAGUACCUUUAUUAAGAGAGAUCCAGCAGGCAGGAAUUGCUAAUGGGGCAGGGAGGUACGUGCAAAGACCAUGCUCAAGGAAGGGAACAGGAGUCCAAGCAAAGGACACAGGGCAAAAGGAAAGGCCAAAAAAGCCAGAGGAAGAGGGAUUGGCAGAGGAACUCCUGUAAAAGCUGGGGACAGCACCUGGUUCCCAAUUCUGCUGGAGCCUGGGAAGCUGCCUGGCCUGAUGUCUGGUUCCUGGGAUAGAUUUCAAAUCAUUCUGCACAGUCGGAUCCCCGUGGCCCCACGUGGAGUCUCAUAGGUUUUGGUGGGAGUCGGUGUGGACCUUUGAGUCUGCUUCUGCAAAAUAGUUGUCAGGAUCAGGGCCUAGGAGAGUGCCCAGAUCAGUCCAAGUGAGAGGCAAAGGAAAGGUACUGUUAGUACCAAGCCAUCCAUAUGCUAUGGCCUGGGUUUUGGGGCCACAGAAUGGGGGUCUUCAGGCCCUUCCACCCUCCAGCUAGUGCUGGGGCUCCAAAUAUUGCCAAGAACAAAGAACUGGGGGUUGUUUUUACCAAACUUGCUAUGUCAGUGCUGGCCAGCGAGAGAAAGGAAAUGAGCCCUCCUGCACACUCUCAGGAUCUGUCUGCCAUCAGCCGGCAAGCUUAAAGGAAGGAAGGUGACCACGGUCCCUGGCUAGGGCAGCGGUCCCAAGUGCAACAGGCCCAGCCCUGAAGUGCUUUGCUGCACCACUGUGACAGCUCUCAAGCCUGGGCCAAAGCUUCUGUGGGUGUCCUGAGGAUCACUGAGCCCUUAGGAUUGUUUGAGUUAUUUAGCCUCCGUGCAGGCCACAUGGCAAUUUAGCAGCCACAAAGGGGGUGGCACACACCCUUGCCAGUUAUUCAAACCCCAACCAGCCCUUCCAAUAAAACCACAAAGCCCUGAGCUGCCAGUGAGGCCCUUCCUGCCUUCCUCAUUUGCCCUAGAGUCUCACCUACCCCGCCCUCCCGGGAGACCACAGUACUGUGCUCAGUCGCAGGCAGUGAAAUUAGCAGCACAUUAGCAGCUUGGUAAUGGCCUUGCGUGGUGGAACCAGCUUUCUUCAUUAAUCCAGAAGAUGAGGGUUGUUUUUGUACAUGUGAGAAGCUCAUUAUUUAAAUACUGGGAAUUAAGGCUCAUCAGAUUCCGGAGGCUGAUUCUGGUUGUGUUUCCCUGGGGUGGGGGUAGAGGCCAGCUUUGCACAGGUGUGCAAUAUGAUACAGAGCUGCUCAGGGCCCAGAGAAGCAGGCCACAUGCACACCCACUACUGUCACGCUCUCCCCAGGCAGGAGAGGCAUUUCGCUGUCUUGAGCAUCCCUCCCUUCCACUGCACUUGUUUGCCUGUACACUGAUUGAGUGUCGCUAUGGCUUUGCCUUUGCUGCCAAAAACUACAAGGCAAGUCCCUGUCUGCAAAGAACCUCACUCAACUACUUCAAAGCAAAGCAGUGCAUCAUGCUGGCUAGGAUUUGACAGUGGGAGAAUUUGUACACCUCUGUUAUGCCUCUGUAAAAAUAAGACCAUUGCUUUUUUUGCAUGGAAACGUAAUGCCAGGUAGCUGUGCGGUGCUUGAUGCGUUGCCUUGGAUUGCUGCAGUCAGAGGAGGCAUUGGGUUGGAGAGCCAUUGGCUCAUAACCUAACAAAAGAGACUUCCACUGGCCUGGAAAAUAUAGGGUGCACUGGACUAUGAUGCUUCCCAGGAGGUGCUGGAAGAACACAGCCUGUGCCAGGUUCACACUUACAAGUAGGUUUUAUGGGAUAAUGAUUUCCAGGGAAGAUGGGUGCUUUUGGCAGUCUCUGGGAAAGGGGAUCUGCUGAUGUCUUUGCCAACAGCUGCCUCCUACACAGACAGAUACCAGCACUGUUUGUGACAAUGGAAGGCCCCCCUCUUCAAGACAAGCAGCCUGCUAAGAAACAGGCUUUUGAAUUCUUUCAUCAGAUUAGCCACAAACCCUGGAUCACGGUCAGGAUCUAAUAAGGUGAACCACACAGUGCAUGCAGUGGAAGCUGCCUUAUGGAGUAUUAUCUGGAGGGAAAUGUCUUGAUUAAUACCAAGGAUGAAGUUUUGGCCUUGUUUCAGCCCCUGGCAAAAUUCACACUGAGUUCAACUAGUGACUGGAUUUCACCCUGUAACAGCAGGAAGGAGGCCCUGAUGACUGGUACUGGGGCUUGUGCAGGUAUGAGGGACUGUGCCUAGUAGUCAUCAUGUUAUGAUUUUCUAAAUCAACUCCUUGGCCCUUUUGUACUUGGACAGAGCCAGGUGGAAACCUCCAAUAUGAAUCCAGUGGCCCUCAAGCACUCUGCUGAUGGAUCAGCAGUCAGACAAAACUCAUUAAUUUACAGAAGAGGCUACAGCUUGGACUAGUAAAAGCUUACUGAGCUCAGCAGCAGGUGAACAGUCUGGCAUGGAGCUAACAAAACAGCUGCACCAAGGACCCCAUCCUCUGAGCUGCUGAGUGUCUUCAGAAUACUGGAUGAAGGAUACUUGCUGAGGGUUGAAAGGUUCAGCCCCUUCCAGGAUCAGGCAGCAGGUUUGCUCUGAUUGGAUCUAUCUUUGGCAUUCCUAACACACCUGUCACUUGGUAUCUCAGUACCAGUGUCUGGCAUAAUAUCCCAAAGGCUCUGGGUUGAGUCAUGAGACAUUUACUGCGGAGUAGACUAAUGAUCUCUGCAGUAAACAUCUCAUGUCUACACAUGCAGCCCUAUUAGGCCACAGGAAACUAAUUAACUCUGCAGCAGAGUAGUACUUGUAAGUACAAGUACUAUCCCGCUGUGCAGUUUUUUACUCCGCAGUACUGCACAUGUAGACACUGAUGCGGCUGGCUUGGGCGUGCCUCCUAGCUAGCCCCACACUGGAGCACCCUCAUGCCUGAGCCACCCAGCCACAGAUCUGAAAAGCUGUGACUUGUUCUGAUGUUCCUAGCCCCUCCAGUUGGAAAGGGGGAGCACAGCCACAGGCUUUGUAGCCCCUGAGGGCCCUGAAAAGUCUCUUAUUCUUCCAACGGACCUCAGGUAUUUGCUACAUCGGGCUUGUUCACUGGCUCAUUCUGUGUGCUCACUGCUGUCAAAACCAUUGCAAAGCGUGUGUGAUUCCCAGAUAUAGGAUACUGGGUGCAGCCUGUGGAAACCAGAGUACUAGCUAGUCCUGUUUGUCAUAUAGCUGCAUGAAGAUGUGUCUUUUUUCCCCUUAGCUAUGGUGGCUGCAUAAGAUAACUGAUGCUUGUAGGGAAUCCCCACGUGACCAAGUUAUUACAAGUCCCUGCUUAUUUAUCUAGCAUUAUUAAAGUCUUGAGACCUUCCCCCAACCCAAUAACCUGAGUGCCUAUCCCUUGCAUUAAAAAGAAUUGCUUUGAUCACAAUAAACAUCCACCAGCCACCAGGGACAUCAUAAAUUAAUUAAAAGUCUAGCGAGGCUGUUCAGUGUGCCUGAUCCACAUUCUGGAGAGCCAAAGACUGGGGAGAUCCAAAGCCCAGGAGCUGGGGUGAGGUGUCAGCUCCUUCCUAUUUACAGUGAGGGAGCUGCAGCUCCAGUGUCUCCUCUGAUCAUGCCGGCAGAGGCAGCAUGGUGUAUGAUGACAGGCGAUCUGUGGGGUAGCAUCACCUUAUGGCAGUACAUUUCUAACAGUAUUCAUGACUUUAUUUUCUCAGCCUUACCUUUCUGUAGUCAAGUGCAAAGGCCUUGAUCUUGUCAGGUGCUGAGGUCUCUCGCCCCCUGCCAGUGCACAGUUCAAGCCCCUGUAGAAGUUACCUUGGGGACCCAACUGCUCGGCAUCUCAUAGGAUCGUGCUUGAAAGGCUUCGCUGCACUAGUUUCUCAACCUCUGUUAGUUUUUCAGUGAGGAGGCCUUGAUGCUGUUCAAAUGCUUGGACUCCCGGGAAAAGGGUUAAGUUCCCUCUGAGAAAGAGAACUGAGCACUUGCGCGAGGAAACCAUGGCCACACAAAAUGGAAAACGUGUCUCAGAGAAACCAGGUCUUGUUGUUUCACGUUCCUGACUGAUCAGCAAAGCCCUCAAGUGCCUCCUGGGAUGGCACAGUUAGAGAAUUCGGUUGCUUUUCUUCCCACAUGGAAGAACAUUGCCUCUUCCCAGCUGAGAUAUCAUGUAACACCGGUGGCUCUCAGGAGGGAGAUUUUGCUGCGUGUUUGCAGGGCAUUUAGCUAGUAUCAAUGUUUAUAUUCCAACAUAAUUCAGGGGCGAGUGCCAAUUAGCAUAAUCUUUCGUGCUUUCAAAUGAAAAUUCCUCUAGCAGAACCAAGAGGGAUCAAUGCUGUUUCCUGCCCCCAGAGGCCAAUCCUUUCCCAUGCUCACUGCCGCACCAACAGUUACGUUGCAGGAAGGUUCCCAAGCUAUGCUAAGUGCAAGUUAAAGGAAAGCAAGCUGGUAAACCCUGGUGUGCAUCUGUAAUGAGGAGGUUGUGAUUUGACAAUUGCUGUGACAAGCCUACGUCACCAUUUCCCUCCCUUAUUUUGUUUUGACUGCUAUUUUGCUGUGUUUUGCCACCUUUGCUGCGUGGGCUGUAACAACCGAACGGCACUUGUUGCAUUGGAAACUUGUGUGCUUCACUGCAAAGAUUAUGACACGGUCCCAAAAUGAAAAGCGCAGAGGCCGGGGACUCCACGACCCACUGCUGCCUUCUAGCUUUUGGUUUAGGCUCUGGCAGCAGCCGUUGUUGAGCAAAUGCUCAACCUCAGCAAGUCACAAGAGACAUUCUUUGUUACCUUGGGGUAGAUUUUUAUCAUGACCUGGCUUUAGUGGCUGACCACCACAUCACAUUACCAGGGCUGGUGGGAGUUGACUCUUUGUGGAGAAUAAGCUGCCAGAAAAGAGUUGUAAAUUAAGGCCUUUUGGUUAUAGCCGUGUUGGUCCAAGGACAUAGUUAGGCAAGCUUCUUUGGGUAGAUGUGAUAUCGUCCAACUACUCAGUUGGUCUAAUAAA